rnacentral:rRNA from 1 species
UACAGAGGUCUCAAGCGUUGUUCGGAUUCAUUGGGCGUAAAGGGUGUGUAGGUGGCGCGCUAAGUCGGGUGUGAAAUUUCGGAGCUUAACUCCGAAACUGCAUUCGAUACUGGCGUGCUUGAGGACUGGAGAGGAGACUGGAAUUCAUGGUGUAGCAGUGAAAUGCGUAGAGAUCAUGAGGAAGACCAGUGGCGAAGGCGAGUCUCUGGACAGUUACUGACGCUGAGGCACGAAGGCCAGGGGAGCAAACGGG